rnacentral:lncRNA from 1 species
AGGUGGGCACUCCACAGACUACAGAGCAGAAGAGACCACCAACACUGCCCAACCCUGCCCACAUCCCUGGCCCAAGAGGAAACUGUAUACGGCCUCUGAGUUCCUUUGGAUAAAGGCACAGGAGCAGGAAAUCCGCUACUUCUGAGACACUGCCCGAACCUGAAGUGACUGACCAGAUAAACAGUUCUCUGCACCCAAAUCCCGUGGGAGGGAGAGGUAAACCUUCAGAGAGGCAGACAUGCCUGGGAAACCAGAAGAGUCUACACUCAGCCCGCAUCUCUGACUCCAGAGGAAAACACCAAACGCCAUCUGGAACCCUGGUGCAGGGAAGCUCCCACAAAGGGCGGUGCAGAUCUUCCUGGUUGCUGCCCCCAUGGGGAGCUCAUAAUCAACACCCCAGGAGCAAACUUGAGCCUUGGGACCACAGGUAAGACAAACCUUCCAGCUCCUAGCGACCUGCCUGGUGAACUCAAGACACAGGCCCACAGGAACAGCUGAAGACCUGUAGAGAGAAAAAACUUCACGCCCCAAAGCAGAACACUCUGUCCCCAUAACUGGCUGAAAGAAAACAGGAAAA